rnacentral:lncRNA from 1 species
AAAUGUCAAUUGACUCCUCUCACUCAUAGUUGUACAAAUUACAGGGCUUUUUUUUAAUUGUCAUAAAACAUAUACAUUAUUCAUCUAUUCAGUUUCAUCUGAAGAGAAUCCAACAAAGAAGAAAUUUUAUUUUCCAAUAAAAUAUUAAAGCUGCUUUACCCCACAAGAGACAGAGCAGAAAUUCCAUCCAUGAUCUAUAAAUCUAUGCGAAAACAAUACACAGUUCUGGCCAAAAGAAGUUAAAACAAAUGUGAAAAAUAAGCGACAUCCAGAAACUUCAGCAGCUCCCUUCUGUCCUAUGCCUCAAGGUACCAGAGAGGGAAAAAGACCCCCAGGAGAGGCUGUGAGGAAACCUGAACUGCAAACCCACCACGAUGUCUUCCUGGGAAAGGCAAGUUGGUAAAGAAAGAUGUGAACUCUAUUUCAGGGUAGUAUGUUUUUUUCAUUUGCUUCCAAGACUUUGAUGGAAUGACUUGAGAGGAAAAGUUCACAAUUACUAGAAAGAACCUAAAAGGACAUGAGAGAUGAAACCGUUGCAGUAUUUUUGAAAUAAAUGUUUUCCUGCAAGAGCAGAGUCAUGGGCGGGGUGUCUGUGUAAUAUCUACUCAACACAGCCGAAGGGUAAGAGGAAAUCUUGGUAAGCCGACUUCCAAGUCUUAAUGGGGAACCAUACGGAACCAACUGCACGCCAAAUCCCACGCUCACCGAAGCUUCAGGGAUUUUCUUGUGGGUCUGGGGGUUUAAUCUGACAGCUCCUAGAGCCUUCAGGACUUCCCGGGCACAGAUAAUGGGCCGCGACUGCACCCCCGCGUCCCUCCUUGGGGCGCAGGCUUUCCACAGCUACAGUUCUCCACGUCAGCAGCCACGUACACAAGCGCCGGCAGCUGCCAACAGGGCGUGCCCGCUUCCAACCCUGCACUCUCCCAAGCAGGACAUCCCUGCACCGCCCGGCGCGUUCGCGAAAACUCCGCGGGGCCUCGAGGCGUCCCGGGAUUAGCCCUGACGCUGUAGGGCUCUCUAGGUUUUCCACGACGCAGGGGAGCGUAACUGGAGCGCACCCGACAGCCUCUCAGCUUGCCCAGGCUCGACUGGAUGGGGCUUUGCUGGACCCCCGACCCGACCCCCACACACCCGGGCGGCGGGGCCCAGGUACCUGCCAACGCCUCCGCACCUCAUCGUCCCCUCUGCUUCCCCUCCUCCCUCUCCCCGAACCCUUCCCCCCUCCUCCCCGCCUCCUCCCCGCCUCCUCUUCGCCUCCUCCUCCACCUUCUCCUCCCCCCGACCCCUGCUCCCACUCUUGGCUCCAAGUCCGCGCGCGGGCUGGGGAGGCGGUGCCGAAUGAAUCACCGUCACGUGGGUCGCGGGCGCGCAGAGGCGGGCUGCGCCCGGGCGGCUCUGGCGCUCGGAGCGUUAGUGGAAAAUUUCCGGAGAUCUACUGGGGCUGCGCGCCGCAGGCCCCGCCCGCCGCCUCCCCGCUCCUUCGUAUCCCCACCUCCUUUUCCCCCUCCCUCCUCCUUUUCUCUCUUCCCCCGCCGUUUUCCGGUCGCAGCCGGGCCCCGACAUUGCGGAGGUUCCUUUCUCUCCGGGGAGCGGCGCUGCGCACGCCCCGCCCGCUGCAGCGCCCCAGGCUGGCGCCGCCAGACCCCUUUGCCCUGGGGCCGCCAGCCCUCGCUUCCUUCGCGCGGCUCCAAGCCGCCACGCGGCCUUGCCCCCGACCUUGCGUGUAGCCUGCUGGUAUCCUGAGAGGCCAGGAGCGGCGUCCUGGCGCCUCCGCCUUCGCCUCUGGGGCGCCGCACCCCCGCCACCUCCGUUCCGCAUUGAGUGAGACCCCCCACAUCUCCGGGCGGAAUGUGAGACAAAGGGAGAAGACGGUGACGAUGGGCGUCUUGUCUUCUCAUUUAGAAUUACUGCACCGCCGUUUAAACAAAGCACAUGCAAGGCCAAUUGUGUUUUACCCACUCCCACUUAACCACUGAGAAAAUAAGCUAUUUUCUCUAUCCCAUAACAUUCUCCACUUCGUUUUCCCAACCACGAACAAAAUUUAUUCCUGAGACAGCAACUUUGAGGAUUUCGUUGACCUCAUCCAUGUAGAAGUGACAAAUGGUUACACAACAAAAUUGUUUCACUCAAAGGGGGUUGUUGUGUACGUGGUUCACCUCAAUAAAACACACAUUUAACUGUUUCAGCAACUGUUUAGCCCUGGACUGUCGCCCGGGUUAAUGUCGCUGAAUGGGGUGGGGGGUUGAAAAGUGGCAUUAGCGCCACGUGUCCCAAGACGAAGUGACAUGGAACCGGAGGCAGGUGCCUUAAUCAGUCACGAAGUGCCAACGAUGUCAGUCAAAACAGUUGGGAGUUUUAUUGAGUAAAGAUCUCAGAACCAAGCCCAUAUAUUAAAUGGUUCCCAUCUAAGAACCAGAAUUGCAGGUGUGUUAAUUUUAAUAAAUCGUUAUUUCAGUAUCUUAGCCCUGGGCAAAGAAAGAUCCGGAAACUGACUGAAGGCCAGGAAUGUAGGUUCAUCGUGGCCUACGAGUGCUUUGGGUAGCACACCUUCUUUCAGUCACUGUCAUUUCUCUUUAGACAAGAAGACCCCUAACAAGUAUUAAAAUAAAGGUAUUUUUUAAUGAUCCUGUUUUGGAAAAUUGUAAGGAUCUGAAAUUUUUAAUUUUUUAAAACAAUGGAGCACUUCAAUAAAACUUCUAUUUUCUUUACUAAGAAUAUACACAGCUUGUUUUUUAGCUUAAUUCUUGAUUGUUGCUGUGACCUUACCACAUUCUGAAUAACCUUAAGCAUGUAUAUGAGAAUCGUAUCUGUGAUUUUGCUUUCACAUUUCACUUUCCAAGACACUUAUUGGUAAUUAGCAGGUGUCAGUUUACCUAGCCAAAGAACCAUUGUCUAUAAAUCCUUCAUCUCUCUGCCAUUGUUUUCUUUCACAUUCAUUGGCAUAUACUACACCUAGCAAAAUAGACCAUUCCAGGGUCAAAUGAAAAGGCCAACAGGUAAGUAUCACAAGAAGGUCAUUAGUCAAGCCGUUAUUUCCCCUCUUUUAUUUGGGAAGGAGAUGGGAGAAACAGAGUUCUGAUACUAGGUCCCUGGAAAGUUCUUCAGUCUUGACAGAAUUGGGUAUGUUUGUACUAAAGUAUCUGUAAAACUAAAUUUUUUUAAAUUUUUUGUUGUUGUUUUGAGACGGAGUGUUGCUCUUGUCGCCCAGGCUGCGGUGCAAUGACGCGAUCUUGGCUCACUGCAACCUCCGCCUCCCAGGUUCAAGCAAUUCUCCUGCCUUGGCCUCCCAAAUAGCUGCGAUUACAGGCGCCUGCCAGCACACCCAGCUAAUUUUUGUAUUUUUACUAGAGACGGGGUUUCACCAUGUUGGCCAGGCUGGUCUCAAACUCCUGACCUCAGGUGAUCCGCCUGCCUCGACCUCCCAAAGUGCUGGGAUUACAGACAUGAGCCAUCGCGCCCAGCCAUAUUUCUAAAUUUUUUUAAGACUGAGUUUCUGUGGGCCCCUUAAUUUUCUUUUUCUUGCUGAAAAAUGAGGUAUGCAUUUACAAAAUACUGAUGCUUGCAAAUAUAUGGAUUUACAAUAUAAUAUAUUUUUUAGGCAUUACUAUGUUUUCCAGUCCUGGCCAGUGGGAUCUGAGACAACAAUAACAGCAUUUCCAGGAAAUGUUAUCUCUCAAAAUAAAAUUAACUCACAAAAUGACGCUCCUUUCUUUUGCAAUGGAUGUGGUCCUGUCUGCCUAUGACCCCUAAAACCACUGCAGCCAACAUGUGACCAUGAUGGGAGAGAUCCCCAGCAUGUUGAAGAAAGCAAAGUGAAAAUAUAAUGAGCUCUUUGUCUUGGAGGGAGGUAUCAGGGCCAAGAAUUAACCCCAGAACUGUGCUCUCUACAUACUUCUUAUUAUGUGAGAUAGUGUCAUUAUUUAAGCCACUUUCAAUUGCAUAUUGUGUUUAUUGCCAUAAAAUGUUUUCUGGCUGGGCACAGUGGCUCAUGCCUAUAAUCCCAGCACUUUGAGAAGCUGAGGUGGUGGAUUGCUUGAGCCCAGGAGUUUGAGAUCAGCCUGGGCAACUUGGCUGAAACCUGUCUCUACAAAAAAUUAGCCUAGCCAGACGUGGUGGCCUGUGCCUAUAGUCCCAGCUACCCAGGAGACUGAGGUGGGAGAAUCACCUGAACCUGGGCUCUCUGAUCACACUGCUGCAUUCCAGCCUGGGCAAAAUAUUCUUGCUGCUGACAACUUCUCUGUGGUAGCCAGCCUCCAAAAUGGCCCCCAGUGAUGCUUACCUCCUGGUAUGCACUCCCUUGUGUAGUCCCCUUCUAUGUUGAAUCAGGGCUUGCCUUUGUGACUGAUAGAAUAUGGUAGAAAUGAUAAAGUGUGACUUCCAAGGCUAGUUCAUAAAGGCAUUGCAGCUUCUGCCUUGCUCUUUCUUGCUAACUUGCUCUGGGAUAAGCCAGCUGCCAUGUCAUGAAGACAUUCAGUCAGGGUUGUGCAGACACCUUCUUGGAGAGGAAGCAACCAGCCAGCACCAACUUACCAACAUGUGAAUGACCUUGGAAGAUCUUCCAGCCCCAGUCAUGCCAUCAGAUGACUAGAGCCCUCUCACAGCUGACUGCAACCUCAUUAAAGACUUAAAGCCAGAACACCCAACAGAGCUGCUCUUGAAUUCCUGAUUCAUAGACACUUCGAGAGAUAAUAAAUUAUUGUUGCUUUCAGACACUAAGUCUUGGAAUAAUUUGUUACAUAGCAAUUGAUAUCUAAUAGAGUAUCUGUCAACACCAGAAAAACAUGCCAAAGUCAGCAAAGCACUCCCAGAGUCCGUACUGUUGCUUUAGACUUGAGAGCUAUCUUACAAGAUUGAAUACAACCGUUCAUUUAUCAAGCACUUUCUAAAUAUGAUCCCA